UUUAACAUUAAAAUGGCCAUGAAUAGGAUACAUAUUGCCCUCGUCAUUUCCGGUGGGCGCGCAACGACAGUGAUGGCUUUUGACUUGUGAAGACAUUGCAAGAUGGAGCAAAGAUACAUAGACAUUCACAAUUAUCUGUUUGAGGGCAAAUACCCAGACGGGCACAACAAAAACCAAUGAUUAAGCCUCAGGAGAUAUGAUUGAAAAUAAAGGAAGGACAGCACCUGUAUCAUACCAGACGGGUGAUACAGUCGAAAAGUGACUUACAUGGCCUAAAGCACAAAUACAUUUACUGAUCAAAAUUAAUGUUGUGCUUUUAUUUCAAAUGUUAUGGGCUGCAGAGGAUCGAGGUAAUGUGGUGGCUGUUGUUGUGCCAUAUAAACUGUACAACACAUCUUUCCGUACACUGGAAGGGACAAAGUGGCUGACUGAUGAUAUAAGCGGUUACAAUUAAAUCUAUUGUCAAAGAAUGAGUUAUUUUUUUAAUUUUUUUUGUUUUUGCAAUAAAGGUAAUUGAUGCUUACAUGUCCAUUCUUGUGAAACAUUAGGCAAGUGUUGGAUAAAAAAAUAUAUAAUGAAUGCAUAUCUUUAAUAAUCCCUGGAUUACAGUUACGUAUUACCCAUGUGUUCUUUUUUCAAGCAGAAGCCCCGUCAUCAAGUGAGUGCUGUGGUUGCUGGAAGUCUAUUUUCUGAACGAUAUCAACCUCUUAAAAAAGUAAUGUUAAUUAGCGAGCACAUUUUGCCAACCAUCAGUAGCCUGGAAUAUAUAUAACUUGGCAUUGGUUUUUCAGUGGACAUUUACUGUGGAAGAGCGAUGGGGUUGUCUGGUAAAUGUAGGCGCUCACUGGAUCUUAGUGGUCAGUGCCUGUUAUAUUUUCUUUAGAUCAAUUUCUGGCAUGUAUUAAUUGGGCAUUUCUGCUGACCUGAUGCAACCAAUUAAUCUUCAUAAAGUAUAUA